UACGUAGGGUGCGAGCGUUAAUCGGAAUUACUGGGCGUAAAGCGUGCGCAGGCGGCUCCUUAAGUCAGAUGUGAAAGCCCCGGGCUUAACCUGGGAACUGCGUUUGAAACUGGGGAGCUGGAGUGUAGAAGAGGGGGGUGGAAUUCCAGGUGUAGCAGUGAAAUGCGUAGAUAUCUGGAGGAACACCGAUGGCGAAGGCAGCCCCCUGGGCUAACACUGACGCUCAUGCACGAAAGCGUGGGGACAAACGAGG
rnacentral:rRNA from 1 species